rnacentral:rRNA from 1 species
AUUGAACGCUGGCGGCAUGCCUUACACAUGCAAGUCGAACGGUAACAGGUUAAGCUGACGAGUGGCGAACGGGUGAGUAAUACAUCGGAACGUGCCCAGUAGUGGGGGAUAGCCCGGCGAAAGCCGGAUUAAUACCGCAUACGACCUAAGGGUGAAAGGGGGGGAUCGCAAGACCUCUCGCUAUUGGAGCGGCCGAGGUCAGAUUAGCUAGUUGGUGGGGUAAAAGCUCACCAAGGCGACGAUCUGUAGCUGGUCUGAGAGGACGACCAGCCACACUGGGACUGAGACACGGCCCAGACUCCUACGGGAGGCAGCAGUGGGGAAUUUUGGACAAUGGGCGCAAGCCUGAUCCAGCCAUGCCGCGUGCGGGAAGAAGGCCUUCGGGUUGUAAACCGCUUUUGUCAGGGAAGAAAUCCUUUGGGUUAAUACCUCGGGGGGAUGACGGUACCUGAAGAAUAAGCACCGGCUAACUACGUG